GACGAACCGUGCGAACGUUAUUCGGAAUCACUGGGCUUAAAGCGCGUGUAGGCGGAUUGGCGCAUCGAUUGCUGAAAGCCCCCGGCUCAACCGGGGAACGGGCGUCGAGAUGGCCAGUCUCGAGGGGGGUAGGGGGACCUGGAACUUCCGGUGGAGCGGUGAAAUGCGUUGAGAUCGGAAGGAACGCCCGUGGCGAAAGCGAGGUCCUGGACCCCUUCUGACGCUGAGACGCGAAAGCCAGGGGAGCAAACGGG
rnacentral:rRNA from 1 species